rnacentral:lncRNA from 1 species
UUAAAUUGUAGAAAUAAUUUUAUCUUAAAAAAUAUUCUGUCUCAUGUCACAUAAAAUUUCAAAUUCGAGAAAAAAGUUGUCUGGUUAUGAGUACAGAAAAAGAAAGUCCGUUAAAGAUCAAAAAUUUGAAAAAAUUAAAAAAUUCAUGAGCAUUGAAAAAUAUGUUGCUUAUAAAAAACCUGACGAAGGUCGUGAAGAUUUUAACCCUGAUGCUUCAACUAUCUCUACGACUAUCUCUAUGACCAAUAAAAUUGGAGAACCUUCAACAUUACUCAAAAAUAGUUGUAUAACUUCAUUGUAAAUUGAAGUAGAUAAUGAACCAGUUAUUUUAAAAGAAUCGAAUGAUUUAUCGGAAGAUUUUUUACAAGAAACACCUAAUUUAUUGGAUUGUGGAAAUUGGCCAAUUGUUCGAUCUAGCAACUUUGUGGACCAUUUAAUCAAACUUGGUCCUUUUCAAAUUACAAAGGAAAAAUACCCUGAAGAUAGAAAUGGUCGACAUUUUUCUAGCAUUUAUUACAAUAGAAAGCUUGCGAAUGGAGAAACCUUUCGCCGUAGAUGGUUGGUUUAUUCAGAUUCUAAAACUCCGUAUUUUGUUUUUGCUGUCUACUUUUUGAUAAUAAUUCAAAGUCAAACUUAGUCUCUGAUGGUUUCAAGAAAUGGAGACAUUUAACUGAAACAUUGGCAAUUCAUGAAAACAGCGUCUCUCAUAUGAAAUGGUAUCAACAGUGGGUAGAAACUGAAUAAGAUUAAAAACUGGAAAAACUAUAGAUAAUGAAGAAAUUAAAAUUAUAGAAAAAGACAGUUUGCGAUGGCAAAAUGUUCUUCUUCGGCUGAUGAAUAUCACUCUUUACCUAGGUGAAAAUAAUAUGGCUUUUCGAGGGAGUUUGGAUAAACUGUUUACGCCUCAAAACGGCAAAUUCUUAGGACUAAUACAGAUGCUUGCAAAAUUUGAUCCUGUAAUGCAAAAGCAUUUAGCACUUGCAAUAUAAGGUGACACUUCAGACCAUUAUUGCGGGAAAAAUAUUCAAAAUGAGUUAAUAGAUUUAAUGUCUCAAAAGGUUAAUGAUGAAAUAAUAAACCGAGUCAUGAAAGCCGUUUACUAUUCAAUCAUUGCUGAUUGUACACCUGAUAUUUCUAGAAAAGAACAACUUUCUCUUACUAUUCGAAUUGUUGACUUAAUUAAAGAAAUUAAAGAGUACUUUUAGGAUUCUUUUCUGUUUCUGAUUCUACAGGCCUAGGACUAACUGAGGCUUUAAUCGAGUUGCUAACUAAGCAUGGACUUGAAAUUUCUAACUGCAGAGGUCAAGGGUAUGAUAAUGGAUCAAAUAUGAAAGGAAAGAUUAAUGGUGUACAAAAAAGGAUUUUAAAUCUUAAUCCUUUAGCAUUAUAUGUUCCUUGCGGCAACCAUAGCUUAAAUUUGGUAAUAAGUGACUCUGCACGGUCUUCAGUAAAAUCUAUAGCUUUUUUCGGUAUUCUUCAGAGAUUGUUUACUCUAUUCUCAGUCAGUGAGCCGAUGGAAAAUUUUAAUUGAUCAUGUUAAAAUUUUGCAUUUAAAGAAACUCUGCGACACGCGGUGAGAAGUAAAAAUAAGUAGUGUUAAAGCCGUUCGUUAUCAAGUUGGUGAUGUACAUGACGCUAUGAUAGCAUUGUCGGAUUUUGAAGGAUGUAAUCCUGAAACUGCACAUGAAGCGAUAACUCUAGGAGAGCCAUUAAAAGAUUUUAGCUUUCUUGUCUCUUUAAUUAUCUGGUAUGACGUUCUUUUUCAAGUCAAUAUUGUUAGUAAAACUCUUCAAGAAAAAGAAAUGGACAUUACUCAAUGUGCAAAGUUAUUGAAAAGCUGUUGUUCAUUUUGAGAAAACUAUAGAAAAUGUGGUUUUAAAGAUGCAAUUAUAAAAGCAAUGGAUUCGGCUAUAGAAUUACAAGUGGAGCCUGUUUUUAAACCACUUAAAAGAAUAAUACGAGUGAAACGCCAUUUUGACGAACCAGCCCAAGAUGGGAUUUAUUUAUUUUCUCCUGAAAAAAUUAGAAAUCGAUUUCUUCAAUCCUCUUUUAGACACAUCUUUAAUUUCAAUGAGAGAAAGAUUUAUACAGUUGGAGAAUUAUUCAGAAGUUUGGGAUUUUUGUAUAAUGUUGAUAGUUUGCAAAAAAGAGAAGAAAUUCUAAAAUCAUGUUUAGCUCUUCAAAGUAAACUUACCGUAAAUCUAAAAUCGGACAUUAAUAGUAUUCUCCUUUGCGAUGAACUGAUGACCAUUAAACCUUUUCUUUUUGAAAUGGUCAAGGAUAAAAUUACUCCUAUUAUUGUUUUAAACUUUAUAAAACAGCACAAAAUGCAAGAUUUGUAUCAAAACACAUGGAUUGCAAUGCUAAUUUUGCUAACAAUACCUGUCACUGUAGAGAGUGGAGAAAGAAGCUUUUCCAAAAUGAAACUAAUCAAAACCUAUCUGCGGUCAACAAUGUCGCAGGAUAGACUUUCCAGUUUAGGAACCCUAUCGAUUGAAAAGAAUAUUGCUGAAAAUCUUGAUUUUUCAACCCUAAUCAAAGAUUUUGGUGAUAAGAAGGCUCCACAUGUGAAAUUGCUAAUUCCAAGUCGGAUAUUGCAGAGGACUGCUCAGAACUUCCAACAGAAUCAGAUAUUAAAGCAAAAAAAAGAAAAGCGAAAAGAAAUUUAAAAUGGGCUUCUUCAAAAUGCAUGAUCUACUGCUCUCUCUCGUCAUUAUUUUUAAACGGUUUAUCUUUUAGUAAAAAAGACAACCAAACUACACUACCAUCAUCAAUAUUAACGCCAGUGCUUACUAUAGCACUGCAAGUAGAGCAGUUAUCACCUGAUUUGAUCAAUUGUCAUGUUGGAGGAAAUGAUCAUCGAAAACUAAUAUUAUUAGAAGAAAUUAAACAAAAUAAUCAAAUUAUAAUUUUUCUUCUGCAACAAUUCUCAGCACAACAGUAGCGUGGUAAUAUAAAACAAGUUUUGAUGAGUUUGGGCUUCUUGUUUCAUUAAUGGAACAUUUACAAAAACUAGAAACAGAUUGCCUUUACAAUGACCUCCGAGGAUAGUUUAUGCUGUUCGGCGUAAUCCUACAACAUGUCGCGGUACGGAUGCAAGGUUGCUUCUGCCAUUAAAGCAUGGCUUCGAUUCGCGUAAUUCGUAUGGUGGGAGGAGAAGAAACAUCAUUUUAACGGUUUUAGUUAUAUAGUUUUAUAUAUAGUUUAUGAUUUUUUUGUAUGUGUGUAACAGUUUAA